AAAUUGAAGAGUUUGAUCAUGGCUCAGAUUGAACGCUGGCGGCAGGCCUAACACAUGCAAGUCGAGCGGUAGCACAGAGAGCUUGCUC
rnacentral:rRNA from 2 species